ACAUCUACAGCAGCAUGCUAAAGCAGUACCAACGCCAGGGCAAAAGACUCAAAUUCCCAGAAUGCACCUGCACCCACCUAUUCAUUUCCACCAAUCAGGAUCAACGGCAUUAUUUCAAACCGCUACUGACUCGUUUUCAUGCUAAACAGUACGGCUGAGAGGUCAUGUACCAUGUGGUCGACCUUGCUGACGCUGAAGAGGUUUCUGUGUAAAAAUGAUGUAAGUUAAGUUUAAUCUUUUAAUUUAAUAUUGUUUUAAUUCAUGCCCAUGUCAUGCUGGCUACCAGUCAAAUAUCGCAUACAAUUAAAAA